rnacentral:rRNA from 1 species
UACGUAGGGUGCGAGCGUUUAAUCGGAAUUACUGGGCGUAAAGCGUGCGCAGGCGGUGAUGUAAGACAGGUGUGAAAUCCCCGGGCUUAACCUGGGAACUGCAUUUGUGACUGCAUCGCUGGAGUGCGGCAGAGGGGGAUGGAAUUCCGCGUGUAGCAGUGAAAUGCGUAGAUAUCAGGAGGAACACCUGUGGUGUAGACAGCUUGCUGGACCAUCACUGACGCUGAGGCACGAAAGCGUGGGUAGCAAACAGG